UGCUAGGUGACGGCGGCGGCGCGGAGAGGCGCGGGUGGGCGAGCGUUUGAACGCGGGCGGCGGGAGCCUCUCUGUCCCCCGGCGUCUUCCCGUGUUCUUCCCCACCUCGUCUCCUCGGAGCCCCUGCUGGCUGCUGCCUUCAACUGUGUGCUGGACAGGAUUUGCUUUUUUCCUCUGUGCCACCAAACUGAUGAAUUCCUUAGCCCACCAAAAGGUUUCCUACAUAGGCUAGCAAGAGGUUCCCUGAAGUACUGGUGGUUGAAUUUUUUUUCCCCAAUGGCACAUGGACUGAAGUGGAACAAAACCAGAGACCUGGAGGAGAAAAUGAAUUCCCAGUAUAAUGGACGUUUUAAUCUGUUUUCCAAGAUAUGUAUUUUGAAUAUUCUUCUCUUCAUGCUGGUCUUCCCAACCUGCUCCCCCUAUUCUGCACAUGAUUAGUAAGAAAAAAGGAAAAGCUGAACCUUCUGGAGAGGGAGCCAGGUUGAACUGGCUGGAAGCAAGAAGAGACAUUUGCAUGGGGGAUGUGUUUGCUGGCUUGGGACCACAUCCUGGAAGCUCCUAGUACCCACGUGUUUGCUGGCAUGUGCCAGGAGCCUGCUUCAGUAAA